rnacentral:lncRNA from 1 species
GCUGCACCAUAACAACUGCACCUUAAGCCGACAUCAGAGAGAAUGAGCGAGGACUGAGAAAGAGAGAACAAGAGAGCUAUGCUCUGUCUCAGCAGUCUUCAGAGUCCUGCACACUGAUGGCAGCCUUUGGGUUAUAUUCCUGGGACAUUGCUUAAUCAUUGACUACAGUUACGGCCCUUUAGAGCAGCGUGUAAAUCCGUUUCUCCUCAAAGGAAAGCCAGGCAUCUCUAGCCAGAUCUUGAGUUUAAAUUCCAGGUUCAUCUGUCAAACUCAAAAAUAAAAAAUAAAAAAAGAAAGGAAAGGAAGAGAGAGAGACAGACAGACAGAAAGAAAGAAAGAAAGAAAGAAAGAAAGAAAGAAAGAAAGAAAGAAAGAAAGAAAGACCUUGAGCGGACUGUUGCAGAAAUCAGUUGACAAAUACAGGCAGGAACCAGAGUAUACAUCGCACCCUGGAUCAGCCUCUGAUUAAAAGACUAAGUAUCCAUUUCUGCCAACCUGCACUUUCCUUCCCUUGGAAGAGCUGGGGCGAGAGAAGAAAACUAAGAUGAAUUGGCCAAACCACUUUAGAGGUCAGCUAAAAUCAGAGACUCAGAAAGGUGCUCUACAAGGUAAGAGAAAGC